rnacentral:rRNA from 1 species
CCUACGGGAGGCAGCAGUGGGGAAUAUUGGACAAUGGGGGGAACCCUGAUCCAGCGACGCCGCGUGAGUGAAGAAGUAUUUCGGUAUGUAAAGCUCUAUCAGCAGGGAAGAAAGAAAUGACGGUACCUGACUAAGAAGCCCCGGCUAACUACGUGCCAGCAGCCGCGGUAAUACGUAGGGGGCAAGCGUUAUCCGGAUUUACUGGGUGUAAAGGGAGCGUAGACGGCGAUGCAAGUCUGAAGUGAAAGGCGGGGGCCCAACCCCCGGACUGCUUUGGAAACUGUAUGGCUGGAGUGCAGGAGAGGUAAGUGGAAUUCCUAGUGUAGCGGUGAAAUGCGUAGAUAUUAGGAGGAACACCAGUGGUGAAGGCGGCCUGCUGGACUGAAACUGACGUUGAGGCUCGAAAGCGUGGGGAGCAAACAGGAUUAGAUACCCGAGUAGUC